rnacentral:lncRNA from 10 species
UCACAGGUCCAUGUUGUAUUUCGUUGUCAUGUCUCCUUGGUUGGCAAUAUAUGAACGUAUCUCAGUCGUGGAAGACAUUGACACUUUUGAAGAGUACAGGCAAAAGAGCCAUAUCCAUUUUCAGAAAUGUCGAAGAUUAUGAAAGAGAAAUACAUGGAAAAUUAUCAAGAAACACUUAUUAACGAUGUAGAAGCUUGUCAUUCUUUCAUUGUUUCAGAAUGUCAGAAAAUCAUAUUUAUUCUGGCUUAUACUGUUAAUUGAUAUGAAAGCAUAUCCUUAAAGAAAAAUUUCUGUUGGCAAGAUUGCCAAUGUUUUGGAAAAAUAAAAUAAGGAAGGAUGGAAGUACCUGACGGCAUAUCGUUUUUAUAAAGUUUUGGAUUAUGGAAUUUUCCUGCUCCAUGUGAUUUGUCCUUGCUGAUGAAGCAGUAACAUAUACAGCAUUGCUCUAGUGUCUGCAUUCUGUGGAACGGAGGGCUUUUGAGCCUCACAAGACUUUGAGAUUUUAUGGAUAUGAAACCUGCUAUCAUUUAGCAUCCUGCCUCUGGGAAUAGAUGAAAACAUUUGGCCCAGUGGUGUUAAUUUGCUGCAUUAUUUAAGAAUAUUCUAUUUUAUCCAUUGAAAAUAAGAGAAAUUAAUAAGAAGCUGGACUGUACUGCUGCCAUCUCGGCUCACUGCAACCUCCCUGCCUGAUUCUCCUGCCUCAGCCUGCCCAGUGCCUGCGAUUGCAGGCGCGCGUCGCCACGCCUGACUGGUUUUCAUAUUUUUUGGGUGGAGACGGGGUUUCCCUGUGUUGGCCGGGCUGGUCUCCAGCUCCUAACCGCGAGUGAUCCGCCAGCCUCCGCCUCCCGAGGUGCCCGGAUUGCAGACGGAGUCUCCUUCACUCAGUGCUCAAUGGUGCCCAGGCUGGAGUGCAGUGGUGUGAUCUCGGCUCGCUACAACAUCCACCUCCCAGCAGCCUGCCUUGGCCUCCCAAAGUGCCGAGAUUGCAGCCUCUGCCCGGCCGCCACCCCGUCUGGGAAGUGAGGAGCGUCUCUGCCUGGCCGCCCAUCGUCUGGGAUGCGAGGAGCCCCUCUGCCUGGCUGCCCAGUCUGGAAAGUGAGGAGCAUCUCUGCCCAGCCGCCAUCCCAUCUAGGAAGUGAGGAGCGCCUCUUCCCGGCUGCCAUCCCAUCUAGGAAGUGAGGAGCGUCUCUGCCCGGCCGCCCAUCGUCUGAGAUGUGGGGAGUGCCUCUGCCCUGUCGCCCCGUCCGGGAUGUGAGGAGCGUCUCUGCCCGGCCGCCCCGUCUGAGAAGUGAGGAGACCCUCUGCCUGGCAACCGCCCUGUCUGAGAAGUGAGGAGCCCCUCCGCCCA